rnacentral:rRNA from 1 species
CACGUAGGGCGCAAGCGUUGUCCGGAAUUAUUGGGCGUAAAGAGCUCGUAGGCGGUCUGUUACGUCUGCUGUGAAAACUCGAGGCUCAACCUCGAGACGUCGGCGGAAACCAUCUGGCUAGAGUCCGGAAGAGGAGAGUGGAAUUCCUGGUGUAGCGGUGAAAUGCGCAGAUAUCAGGAAGAACACCCGUGGCGAAGGCGGCUCUCUGGGACGGUACUGACGCUGAGACGCGAAAGCGUGGGGAGCGAACAGG